CCUGCUUUCCAUGGAUAGUCACUUCAAAUUUUUGACUGAUAGCUCCAUCUUUAAAGAAAAAAUUAAAAUCACAAAGCAAACUGGAAGAAAAUCUAAAUUCAUAAGUCUAGAAGAUGAGAAGAUCAAGCAGUUGCCCAAUUUGUGGAUCCAGACUGGACUUUGGUGGGGAUUUGGCACCUGUUUCAUUCACAGAGCUGAGAAAAAACCUGAGAAGUGCUUAGUGCAGUACAUUCAAAUGCUGUGGGAAGGGGAGCAGUGGAAGGCCAGACACCCCCAGACCAAUGACAGGCUGCUGUGAACAGGAACUGAAGAUAAAGUGUGUGUUUAUAGGUAGCAUUUUAAAACAGCUGCAAUUUCAGUGCUGGACCAACCCUCUGAUUAGGCAAGUGGAAAAGCUAUGAUGUAUACUCUAUAAUAAAUGUCAGAGCAAAGAAGAGCAAAGAACUGAAAAACACCCUAUUAGAGGCUAGCAAGAGCCAGAAAAUAAAAGAAGAACCUGUGUCAAAAAGCAAAAAAAUUCAAGAGCAAAACAGAAGUUCAAGGGUGACAAAGAAAAGGAUCACAGCCCUUUUGGGCUGUGACAGUGAUAAUUUUUAUCUCCCCCUCAGUGCAAAGCUGGAUUCCAAGCUGUGGUGUCAUUGUGGAGCAGAGCCUCAGCAUGCCAGUGGCAUCCACAAAUCCGGGUCCUGAGCUCACAGUGGUCACACAGCCAGAGCCUGCC